CAUUACGUUUGCCGUUACAAAUAAAAACCGUUCGUUCGGCUCAUAAAUUAAAAAAUGUUUCCCAAUAAAAGCAAAAAAAUGGAUUUUCUAAAAUUAAAGCGAAUAUUGUUAUUCGUCAUUAUGGGUAUCUGGCUGAUAAUCGUUGGCUGCAACUGGUGCCGGCACAAAUGGGUAGCACUGAAACGCCGACUGAUUAACGAAUGGGCAGCACUCUGUCAGAAGUUUAUAGCAGCCUAUUGGAUCCUAACUGUUUAGAUAUUUAGAUAUUAAGAUGUAGACUCUAAGAUAACUUUCGCAGAAAAGCAUCACACAACUCAAAGAUGCAAUAAAUACACGGUUUUGGGGCAGAUCCUCCCAACCCAAAAGGGAGUAUAAGAUCGCAUACAAGCUACAAUUUGAUCUAUCGCUCAUCGACGAUGGAAAAGAGGAAACAACAACAAAAUCAGGGGCGCAUCUCAGUGGAAUACACUUUUUUCUUGAACACUGAACUAAGAAAUAAGUAUCUAAACAAAGAAGAAGUAUCUUAAAGUUACAGAGAUGCAGAAACAGACACAAAUUGAAAGUAUACAAACAGCUGCCAGAUAUUGUAUCUUAAAAAGUAUCUGAAGUAAAAACACAACCAAGGAAGAUGAUUUGUACAUACAAAAAAACAUACCACAGUGUUUGAAACAGUAAAAUGAAUCUAUGGGA